rnacentral:misc_RNA from 1 species
AAGUCGUAACAAGGUCUCCGUUGGUGAACCAGCGGAGGGAUCAUUACCGAGAGAGUUGCAAAACUCCCUACAACCCUUUGUGAACCUCACCCGUUCUGUAGUGUCUCCGGCAGGUAUCCCUAGAGGAGGGGACUUGUGCCAUCAGGCGCCUGCCGGAGGGCUAAACUCAAACUCUUUUAUGGCGUCUGCCACUGCUGUCUGAGGCACUAUUAAAAUAAAUCAAAACUUUCAACAACGGAUCUCUUGGUUCUG